CUGUGGACCACGUUCGGGCUUGGAGCUGCCAGCGAGCGACAUGCCCAGCCUGGGCUGGACCUGCUUCAUAGUUCCCCUGACACCUCAUGAUCGGAGGCAAGGGCAUGGCAGCAAACUGGCCCGGCCCGGCUUCUCCCAGGCUGGAGAGACAGUUGGUAGCAGCCAAGUUACAUCCCUUCUUCCGUGCCGAUGCGUUGUGAGCUCAGCUGUAAAAAAGCUCGAGGACGUCCCGAUAAUUUACCAUCCAAAAGCUGGUGGGAAGAGGCACACCCCAGGGACAGAAAACUGGAAUUAGCCGACACAAAACAGCUCCUGAUAGAACUCCGGGACUGGGUUAAGUCCGUGCCUGAUGCCCAAGAAAAUGUAAAUCCGGAAGCCAAGGAACCGAAAUUGGUGGGUCAGAAAUUCUGCCAGCUGCCUCUCCACCCCCAGUCGAAGCCAUGCCGUGCCAGGCUGCUGUGGUGCCCUUGCCUGGACAAAAUAAUGAGUGGUGGGGCUAUUAAACAAAAAGACUUUGCGGGCAAUUACGGACGCACAGGCGGAUGCUACUGGAGUGAGUGUCACUACAGAGUUCGAAUGGACUGCCAGGGUCAUCUAGUCUAAGAUGCAGGAUUUGUUGCGUCUAAAUCAUCCGAGACGGCCUCUUGUGAAAGUCUCCAGUGAAGGAGCUUCCACUGCCUCACUGGGCAUCUGUUCCAUUCUCUUACUGCUUUUUCAGCGAGGGAGUUUUUCCUGAGAUUUCAUCGAAAUCUGCUGGGCUGUCGUUUGAACCCACUGCCCCUUGUCCUGCCCUCUGUGGCAGGAGAGAACAACUUUUCUCCAUCUUUUUUAUGGCAACCUUUCAAAUAUUUGAAGACUAUCACAGCGGCCAUUUUCCCCCCCACACCCUCCGCUGUUUCCUGGGACUCUGGACUUUCGUCACCCUAAAUCUAUGUUCUGAGCAGACUGGGCCAGAGGGAGGGACCCAGCUGACACCCGUGACGUCUGCUGGUGCCAGCUGAAUCCUCAACACCGUCCAAGUGACUGACAAGGUGGGUGAAGUAAUAUCUUUUAUCGGACCAACAGAGGAUAUGACCUCACUCACUCUGUUUCUUUCUCAUCCUGGAACCAUGAAGUUAUAACAAGACUCCAAACAAUCUAAGCAACUGUCAAAGAAGGGAGUUUUUCUUUCUAAAACCCCCUCCUGCUAAGGGGAACUAGGGAUGUUGUGAAAACGAAAGCCUUAUUUAAUACCUGACAUUGCAAAUGCCAUCACUCAGGGCUGGCGCUUCCAUUUAGGAGACCUAGGCGGUCACCUAGAGCACCAGGAUUU